rnacentral:lncRNA from 10 species
CUUGUUCUGGGAAUGCCUCUGAGAUUUCUACUUUUUCUACUGUUCAUUCUUGCCUCUCUCUGAGGGGUUGAUUUCAAUUGUUACACAUUCCUUCCCUGUGGUAUGUAAUCCCUGGACCUGGGGGAUAAGGGCUCAGGGAUCCACUAUCCCUUCUCAUGGCUGCCAAAGGAUAUCACUUCUGUUUUUUCUAGAAAAUUUCUCCACAAACUGAGAGCUCCAGAAUUGAUGACUCAGAGUGAACCGAGGAGAUCACUACUGUGCACAAGUUUGCCUCCAAACAACUGGGUGAUGCCUCCAAACAGACCUGGAAUCAUCCAUUUCUCCAAGGAUCUCUGCUUCUUCUUGUAAAAUAGGCUAUUUAAGGACUACAAUCUGAGCAUUAAGGGUCUUGGAGGAAGGCAUCCUUCUAUUCUACUGAUCAGAAAGCUGGACAAAGUCCCACUGCCAGGCUACACAGUUGGUGCCAUUUGCGGAGGCCCACCCGCAGCGGUCACGUGAAGGACCGAGCGCCGCGCGCCCAGGCGGGGCCUCCGGCCUGCACGAGGAGGGCAGAGUCCGUUGCGGCUGCCGCCCCGACGCCCGCGCAUCCCCGCUCGCCGCGCCCGCCGCCGCGAUGUCCGGGGCCGGCCUAGCCGCGGUGGUGAGCUGCCUGCGCCCGCAGCCCGGCGAGGAGCCGCAGACCCAUGAGGCCACCUCAAUAGCAGAAGUACUCUGCCUGACUGCAUACUUUGGCAGACUGGUACAUUUUGCAAAAGUCACUCCUCAAAUGGUUUUCUGGAAGGAUACAAAAGACAUCUGCACCAUGGUAACCACAGUGGCGAGUGUUCAUUGUAGUACCUGUAAGAGUUUAUGACCGAAGGCAGGAGCCAUGAAGAAAAAAGACUCAAUAGAUUUGCUUUUGAUGAAACAACAACACUUCCAUACAGUGAACGCCAUAAGCACAACUGCAAGCAAACCCCAAACUGAAGAACAAAUAGGGCAAAAUGUGGCAGUGCAGACAUUUCAGCAUAUCAAGAGCACUUCCAAAUUACAGGAAAAAAAAGAUAUCUCAAUAGAUAAUUUUGCUGAAGAUAAGUGAAGGCAACUCAUAAGGAAAAAAUAUGUAAAAUGGCCGAUAGGAAAGAUGUUUAACGUCACUAAUUAAAAAUUAUAGAAUAAAACGACAAUAAAAUACCAUGUGUUUGCCUAUAAAAAAUCUUAGCAAGAUUGAAAACAAACUUUUUGUAAUUUCAAUUUUUAGUUUAGAUUCAGGUGGUACAUGUGCAGGUUUGUUACAUGGGUAUAUUUCGUGAUGGUGAGGUUUGGGGUACAACUGAUCCCAUCACUCAGGUAGUGAGCCUAGAAUCCAGCAGGUAGUUUUUCAACCCUUCCCCUCCUCUGUCCCUUCCCCUCAGGAAUCCCCAGUGUCUACUGUUGCCAUCUUUGUGUCCAUGAGUACCCAGUGUUUAGCUCCUACUUAUAAGUGACAACAUGCAGUAUUUGGUUUUCUGUUCUCUGUUAAUUCACUUAGGAUGAUGGCCUCUGGCUGCAUCCAUACUACUGCAAAGGACAUAAUUUCAUUCUUUUUAAAUGACUGCAUAGUAUUCCAUGGUGUAUAUGUACCACAUUUUCUUUGCCUAACCCACCAUUGAUGAGCACCUAAGUUGCUUCCAUGUCUUUGCCAUAAAACAAAUGUUCUUACACCCUACAAGAGAGAGGAAUAAAACUGUCUUUCUGGAAGGCUCUUUGGCAGCUCCUUUCAAAAGCCUUGAAGGUGAAUAUAUUUUAACCCUGGACUUCCAUUCCUGGGAAUUUAUCUGUAGGAAAGAAGGAUGCAUUCAGAGAUUUAGCCACAAAAUUGGUGGUGGCUGACGGUUUAUAAUAUUGAAAAAUUGGAAACAACCUGAUUUCCAGACAAAAAUUAUAAGA